rnacentral:rRNA from 1 species
UUCCGGUUGAUCCUGCCGGACCUGACUGCUAUCGGAUUGAUACUAAGCCAUGCGAGUCAUUGUAGCAAUACAAGGCAUACGGCUCAGUAACGCGUAGUCAACCUAACCUAUGGACGGGAAUAACCUCGGGAAACUGAGAAUAAUGCCCGAUAGAACACUAUACCUGGAAUGGUUUGUGUUCCAAAUGAUUUAUCGCCGUAGGAUGGGACUGCGGCCUAUCAGUUUGUUGGUGAGGUAAUGGCCCACCAAGACUAUUACAGGUACGGGCUCUGAGAGGAGUAGCCCGGAGAUGGGUACUGAGACACGGACCCAGGCCCUAUGGGGCGCAGCAGGCGAGAAAACUUUGCAAUGUGCGAAAGCACGACAAGGUUAAUCCGAGUGAUUUGUGCUAAACGAAUCUUUUGUUAGUUCUAGAAAUACUAACGAAUAAGGGGUGGGCAAGUUCUGGUGUCAGCCGCCGCGGUAAAACCAGCACCUCAAGUGGUCAGGAUGAUUAUUGGGCCUAAAGCAUCCGUAGCCUGCUUUGUAAGUUUUCGGUUAAGUCCAUACGCUUAACGUAUGGGCUGCCGGGAAUACUGCACAGCUAGGGAGUGGGAGAGGUAGACGGUACUCGGUAGGAAGGGGUAAAAUCCUUUGAUCUAUCGAUGACCACCUGUGGCGAAGGCGGUCUACCAGAACACGUCCGACGGUGAGGGAUGAAAGCUGGGGGAGCAAACCGGAUUAGAUACCCGGGUAGUCCCAGCUGUAAACUAUGCAAACUCGGUGAUGCAUUGGCUUGAUGCCAAUGCAGUGCCGCAGGGAAGCCGUUAAGUUUGCCGCCUGGGAAGUACGUACGCAAGUAUGAAACUUAAAGGAAUUGGCGGGGGAGCACCACAAGGGGUGAAGCCUGCGGUUCAAUUGGACUCAACGCCGGU